rnacentral:rRNA from 1 species
GACGAACGCUGGCGGCGUGCUUAACACAUGCAAGUCGAGCGGUAAGGCCCUUUCGGGGUACGACGAGCGGCGAACGGGUGAGUAACACGUGGGUGACCUGCCCUCAGUUCUGGGAGUAAGCCUGGGAAACCGGGUCUAAUACUGGAUAUGACCUCAUGACGCAUGUUGUGGGGUGGAAAGCCUUGUGCGACUGAGGAUGGGCCCGCGGCCUAUCAGCUUGUUGGUGGGGUGAUGGCCUACCAAGGCGACGACGGGUAGCCGGCCUGAGAGGGCGACCGGCCACACUGGGACUGAGACACGGCCCAGACUCCUACGGGAGGCAGCAGUGGGGAAUCUUGCGCAAUGGGCGAAAGCCUGACGCAGCGACGCCGCGUGAGGGAUGACGGCCUGGUGUAAC